ensembl:lncRNA
NNNNNNNNNNNNNNNNNNNNNNNUCUGUAUGGGGCCUGGGGGUCUCUAUGGGUCCCUAUGGGGCCUUAUGGGUCUCUAUGGGGUCCCUAUGGGGUCUCUAUGGAUUUCUGUGGGGUCUGUGGGUCCCUGGGGGGUCUCUGUGGGGUCUUAUAGGACUCUAUGGGGUCUCUAUGGAUUUCUAUGGGGUCUGUGGGUCCCUAUGGGAUCUUAUAGGACUCUAUGGGGUCUCUAUGGAUUUCUAUGGGGUCUCUAUGGAUUUCUGUGGGGUCUGUGGGUCCCUGGGGUCUCUGUGGGGUCUUAUAGGAUUCUAUGGGGUCUCUAUGGAUUUCUGUGGGGUCCCUAUGGGUCCCUGUGGGUCUCUAUUGGAUCUUAUAGGAUUCUAUAGGGUCUCUAUGGAUUUCUGGGGGGUCUGUGGGUCCCUGUGGGUCUCUAUGGGAUCUUAUAGGAUUCUAUAGGGUCUCUAUGGAUUUCUAUGGGAUCUAUGGGUCCCCGUGGGUCCCUGUGGGGUUCCUAUGGGUCUUUAUGGUGUCUAUAGGGCCCUAUAAGUCUCAGAGGAGUCUCCCGUGGGUCGCUAUGGGGUUCUGUGAGUCCCUAUGGAUCCCUAUGGGUCUCUAUGGGCCUGUAUGUGUCCCUAUAUGCCCCUAUAUGCCCCUAUAUGUCCCUAUAUGUCCCCAGCUGUCCCUACAGCUCUCUCUGUGUCCCUCUGGGGCGCUGCAUGUCCCUAUGGCUCUCUACGGGUCCCUAUAUGUCCCCACACGUCCCUAUGGCUCUCUAUAGAUCCCCAAGUGUCCCUAUAUGCCCCAACUUGGCCCUAUAUGUCCCCACGUGUCCCAACAGCUCCCUAUGCGUCCCUAUGAGGUUCUGUAUGUCCCUAUGGCUCCCUAUGGCUCCCUAUAUGUCCCUAUGGGUCCCUAUGGGUCCCUAUGUGUCCCUGUAUGUCCCUAUAUGUCCCCAUGUGUCCCCAUGUGUCCCUAUGUGUCCCUAUAUGUCCCUAUAUGUCCCCAUGGAUUCCUAUGGCUCUCUAUGGGUCCCUAUACGUCCCUAUACGUCCCUAUGGGUCUCUAUGGGGCAAUGUGGGUCCCCAUACAUCCCCACACGUCCCCACGUGUCCCCUAUAUCUCUCCCUACGCGUCCCUAUGGGGCGCUGUGCGUCCCUAUGGGUCCCUAUAUGUCCCCAUAUGUCCCCAUAUGUCGCUAUGGCUCUCUAUGGGUCCCUAUACGUCCCUAUAUGUCCCUAUGGGUCUCUAUGGGGCAAUGUGGGUCCCUAUAUGUCCCUAUGGGUUCCUAUGGGGCGCUGUGGGUCCCUAUACGUCCCUAUACGUCCUUAUGUGUCCCCAUGGAUUCCUAUGGGGCGCUGUGGGUCCCUAUAUGUCCCUAUGGCUCUCUAUGGGUCCCUAUAUGUCCCUAUAUGUCCCUAUAUGUCCCCAUGGAUUCCUAUGGCUCUCUAUGGGUCCCUAUAUGUCCCUAUAUGUCCCUAUGGAUCUCUAUGGGGCAAUGUGGGUCCCUAUAUGUCCCUAUGUCUCUCUAUGGGUCCCUAUACGUCCCUAUAUGUCCCUAUGGGUCUCUAUGGGGCAAUGUGGGUCCCUAUAUGUCCCUAUAUGUCCCCAUAUGUCCCCAUGUGUCGCUAUGGCUCUCUGGGUCCCUAUGUAUCCCCAUGGAUUCCUAUGGGGCAAUGUGGGUCCCUAUAUGUCCCUAUGGGUCUCAAUGGGGCAAUGUGUGUCCCCAUAUGUCCCUAUAUGUUCCCAUAUGUCCCCAUAUGUCCCCACGUGUCCCUAUGGGUCUCUAUGGGUCCCUAUGUAUCCCCAUGGAUUCCUAUGGGGCAAUGUGGGUCCCUAUAUAUCCCUAUGGGUCUCUAUGGGGCAAUGUGGGUCCCCAUACAUCCCCACGUGUCCCUAUAGCUCUCC